CUAGGCUAAUUGGUUCAGAACUGUCACCUGACCUGAAAUGGGCCAAUCAGUUUGUCACUCUUAUGGACAAGACCUGUUGAAAGAAGACUGCAUAUUGGGCAGGCUGGUAGCUGAGGCACAUUUCAGAAGUUGGGAAAGAAGCUCUCACCUCCCGAGGAGAAAAUAUCAGGGCCCCAACUUCCCUGAACUUUGGUUAAUUUUCCCUUAGAGUCUCUCAGAUAUUCCAGAAAUCUUCAAAUGCAUUCUCCCUCUUCACUCAAACAAGUAGAGUUGUUAUUUAUUCUUGUAAGAAACCUAAGUGACAGAGCCACAACCCUGACUACAUGGAUAAAGAGCAGCAAAUGAAGAGUUUCUACAUAGAGACCGAAGACCAGCUGUUCUCAGCAUCGACUCCGCUCUGCAGAGUGGAAACUGAUUUAACCGCAGCACGAGAGACUUAGAUUAUAAAUGGAAGAAUUUUCUGUCAGCGAGAGUUGUUAAUGUUGGGGAGGUCACAGAAUCUUUUCCACCGGAGGUUUUCAAAAUAACAUAGCUCUUCAU